AUUGAACGCUGGCGGCAGGCCUAACACAUGCAAGUCGAACGAGUGGCGGACGGGUGAGUAAUGUCUGGGAAACUGCCUGAUGGAGGGGGAUAACUACUGGAAACGGUAGCUAAUACCGCAUACCAUCUGAUGUGCCCAGAUGGGAUUAGCUUGUAGGUCGGGUAACGGCUCACCUAGGCGACGAUCCCUAGCUGGUCUGAGAGGAUGACCAGCCAAACUGGAACUGAGACACGGUCCAGACUCCUACGGGAGGCAGCAGUGGGGAAUCUUGGGCAAUGGGCGAAAGCCUGAUGCAGCAAUGCCGCGUGUAUGAAGAAGGCUUUCGGAUUGUAAAGUACUUUUGGCGGGGAAGCGUUACCCGACGAGAAAGCCCCGGCUAACUACGUGCCAGCAGCCGCGGUAAUUC
rnacentral:rRNA from 1 species